UCUAAUUUUUUCUUUCUUUAUAAUAUCAGAUUCUAAAUAAAAACAUUUAAAUGCUUACAAAAUGUUGAUUGCAGUUAUCAGUAACUGGUGAGUUUAUAUUAUAACCUGUAAGCAUAUAUGUGUGGAGCCAGUGGUUAAGGCAUCAGACUGGAAACCAGGAGAGGGUGAGUUCUGGUCUUGCCUGGACACAGAGCUGGCCGGGGGGCCCUGGGGCAGCCAGUUCUGCCACUGUUAGGAAGAACUACUGGGUUUAACAUGUCACUGUAACAUGGAUUUGCAAUUUUUUUUAAUCCCACCUUUAUUAUUUUUGUAAAUAACUCAAGGCAGCAAAUGUACCAAAUACUCCUUCCUCCUCCUAUUUCUUGUAUUGUGGUGUACAAAUUUGUAUUUGGCUUGGAAAAAGCUGCACAAAACAGUGUUUUCUGCACCUGGCAUGUCAGAAGUUACAGGAACAUUGCAGGGAGGACCAGUUUUCACAAUCAUUUGGUGGUAGACCAGGAGGAAGCUCAGAGUGGGGUGGUGGGGAGAUAAGUACAGAUAUGUAGAGAUAUACACACACACAAAUAUUGAAAACAAAGUUAAAUUCAUAAUAAUAUGUUUCUUUUUUAUGUAUUAGUGAUAUCUAGUUCCUACUUGAGUUUAACAUGUUGUUGUAUUCAUAAAAAUUAAUAAAUAUAUAAGUGUGUGGUUUUCCAAGUCAGUCUGCAACCUGCAGGGAUCCUUAUGUACGGUUCAGCGGCCUCUGUUUCUGUUUGAGUUCAACUCCACUGCUGGAGGUGAUUGAUCCCGUGGCCUCUUCCUCCUCUCCAGGGACCGGGUCUGCUAGACUGCAAUUGGUAGAUGCAGUAAGGAGGUGGAGAAAUAAGAACGCUUCGCUACCCACAUCACUGUGAUGUAAUCCCUACUCAUGCUUCGCUUCACUCUUCAUCUUCCUCCAAUGACGGUCCUUUUGUCUCUUCUUGUGCUUCACUUCCUGAAGCUCCUCGAUGGACCAAGGUGCACCCUGGGAUCGCCACCCAACAGAGGCCACAUGGGAGCAAUACAGUCCAAGGGCUCGGGCUCCUGCCCGUGCCAGGCCAUGACCAGGGCCUCAGCCAAACCAACCCUCAGGGAGGCCCAAGCUCCCUCUGAAACGAAACUGGCUCUAUCAGUCAGUCGCCUGGGGUGGGCAGUCAAACAGGCCCUGCAGGGUGGGGUGUCAUGACCCCCAUAAAUAUGCUUUUUCAUAAACCAAUUCUGCUACAUUCCGAGGACAGGACAGAAUUCGCUGCUCAAGCCUACAAACUGUGUUAGGGCUUGUCUUAGCUUGUGUCAGCCCAGACGGACUGGCUAACCGUUAGCUUCAAGGGAGCAUUGCCUGUGUUUGGUUCAGAACUCUCUCUCAGGAUGAUUUUGCCUGCUCAUCGUAGUGAAAAGCCACCCUCGCAAUAUGCUAUUCAGGUGGCGGAAACAGUCCCUGCAAACUGCCUGUCGUAGACACCACAUCAGAUCCAGCUGUAUUUAGUAACUUGCUCCCUUUGGAUUUCAGUAUGCAAACCCGGCUUGCUUAGCAGACUGGUGCAAAUGAACCUUGUCUGAGCACUAUUAACCUGCUUAACCCUGAGUCACUGCGACUUCACACACCGCGGAUCUGAGCCUCUGCAUCUGCUCUCCUGGGGGGCCAGGACUGGACUCCGAAAGGCGGCCGGGCGACGCCGGGCAACUCGAGCAUCUCAGGCGGCGGCGGCGGCCCCGCGGCGGGCGUUGCGGGGCGCCUUCCUCCUCCGGAUAAAGGGGCAGGCCUGGAAUCAGCCUAUUUCGUCUCCGGACGGCCGUCCCUCAUGAGCAAAUUGCAAGAACGGGAGUUCUUGCGAGCGGCUGGGAGACGAGGCUGAGGCGCAGCUGGACGCGGCCAACCCCAUUUCUGUAGCGCCUCUGGAUUAUGAUUAUCCUCCAGUUUGAGAGAGACUCCUUUUUUCGGCAGAUAAGUAUUUCUUCUGGUAGUUUUGUCAUUUGGGGGGGGGACGAUAAAGUUUGGGAAGAUCUGGAGAUUUUAAGUAAUUACAUCAUUGAAAACUUUGCAAAAAGCUGGAUAAUUAAAGUGAUAAAGCUAACAACGGAGAAAGGGGAAAUCUUUCUUUUAAUUUUUUUUUAAAGUUUAAUUUUUCAUGGAUCUGCAUUGUUAAAACCGUAACUGCUUUAAUGGGACUCUUUUCUUCCAUGGGAAUGCUUUUUGUUUUAUUUUAACGGACCUGAUAACUGGCCGGGAUCAUAUCUCAAAAGAGCACAGUAAUCAGCCUGGCCUAUUUUUCAGCGGAGCCUGUUUUCAGUGGAGACGCCUGCUGGUAAUUGCCUGCAAUUACAGUUUUAAAAGAUUUUUUUUUUCUUUUUCUUUUUCCUUCCCUUUUCCGAUCUACAAUUCUACUUUUUUGAUUUUGCUAUAAUGGCAACACGUAGAACCUGAUUGGAUGUUAGGAGAGCCUCUGCGGAGCAGCCAUCAGAGAGGAAAGAUAAAGAAGAUAAACCUAGUGUAAUUAAGUCAAUGUUUGAUGAAUUAGGAGCUAAACUGGCUCAGUGAGUGGACACUAAAUUAGAUGCUAAAUUUAUGACUUUUGAAAAAAAGAUGGAAGAAAGAUUGGAUAAGAUGGAUAUUUUUGUAAAACAAAUGUCUACAGAUAUGAAACAAACGUCUGGAGAAAUAAAACAAACUAAUGAUACAAUAGAAAUCUUAGAGAAUAAAUCAGGAAUUAGAGAUAUAGAAUUUGAAAGAGGAAUGGAUAAUUUGGCUCGGUUGGAACUUAGAAAUAAUUUUGUUUGAGAUUUAGAGCCAUUCCAGAGGAAGAUAUCAGGAGAAAGGUGAUCCAGGCAUUGUUGGAUUUUUUAGACUGGGAAGAGGAGGAGACUGGAGAGGAGAUUGACAAAGUGUGUUGCAUUAAUUAAUGUUUUGCCACAAUAAGACAUGUGCCAAGAGAUGUUUUAGUGCAUUUUAUAAGGAGAAGGACAAGAGAUCAAGUUCUGCAACAGCAUUUUAAUUCUAGAUUGAAUAUUGAUAAUGCAGAUAUAAUUAUUUUAAAAGAAAUCCCUAUUAGAAUUUUACAUAGAAGGUGUAACUUUUACUUUUCAACAGAGAAGAUUUCAAUUGCAUUUUGUUCAAAAGGCUAGAGCACUUUUGGAAAAAUGUAAAGGAGACUUAAAAGAGGUUCAAAGGGAAAUUGCAGAGAAAACUGACCAAAAAUCACAACAGACAAAAGGAGCUUGCAAAAGAUGACUUGGAGUUAGAUGCUACUGGUAUAGACUUUUCUGAAUUAUUCAUUUAACCAUGGAUUAUAAAUGUCUAAUGUGGAAUAUAAAUGGGGCAAAUUCCCCUCAGAAAAAGGAAAACAUUAUUUCACCAUCUGAAAAAAUUAAAACAAGAUAUAAUUUGUCUGCAAGAGACUCAUUGGAAAUAAAGACAUGAAGUAUUUAACUUGUAAAAAUUUGGGAGAAGACAGGACCGAAAAAAAAUGGAGUUGUUUUAUACAUUAACCCCCAUCUAAAACCACUAUUAAUAUUGACUAAUCAACAUGGCAGAAAUGUGGGGGUGGAAAUUGAACUACAAGGACUUAAAACUUUUGUUUUGGGACUUUAUGCUCCAAAUGAAGAUAAAGGAAAUUUUUAUAAUUGACUUAUGGAACAAUUGAUAAACCUUUCAUAUCAGAAUUGGUGUUUGAUGGGAGACUGGAAUGGUGUAGUCUCUCCACAGUUAGGCAGAACAUCUGAGAAGAAAAUUAAAAAUACCCAAGGUAAAUUACAAAAGACUUUUUUUGAUUUGAUGGAUAACUUUAGUGGGCAUACAGAGACAAAAAAAAUGGCAAUUCCAGAGAAUAUACUUAUUUUUCAGAAAGGCAUGGAUUGUUUUCAAGAAUAAGUAUGAUAUGGAUUUCAAAAAAAACGUAGAGAACAAUUUAAACAAAAGCAUGGAUUUAAGAACAUUUUGGGAUUCAAGCAAAGCUUUUAUUAGAGGCUAUUUUAUUCAACAUAAUAAUUGGGGGGGGGGGGAAA